UACGUAGGUGGCAAGCGUUGUCCGGAAUUAUUGGGCGUAAAGGGAGCGCAGGUGGGAAUGUAAGUCAGUCUUAAAAGUGCGGGGCUCAACCCCGUGAGGGGAUUGAAACUACAUUUCUUGAGUGCAGGAGAGGAAAGUGGAAUUCCUAGUGUAGCGGUGAAAUGCGUAGAGAUUAGGAGGAACACCAGUGGCGAAGGCGACUUUCUGGACUGUAACUGACACUGAGGCUCGAAAGCCAGGGGAGCGAACGGGAUUAGAUACCCCGGUAGUCCUGGCCGUAAACGAUGGAUACUAGGUGUGGGAGGUACCGACCCCUUCCGUGCCGGAGUUAACGCAAUAAGUAUCCCGCCUGGGGAGUACGGUCGCAAGAUUAAA
rnacentral:rRNA from 1 species